rnacentral:rRNA from 1 species
CAGCCGCCACGGUAAUACGUAGGUGGCAAGCGUUGUCCGGAAUUAUUGGGCGUAAAGGGCUCGCAGGCGGUUUCUUAAGUCUGAUGUGAAAGCCCCCGGCUCAACCGGGGAGGGUCAUUGGAAACUGGGAAACUUGAGUGCAGAAGAGGAGAGUGGAAUUCCACGCGUAGCGGUGAAAUGCGUAGAGAUGUGGAGGAACACCAGUGGCGAAGGCGACUCUCUGGUCUGUAACUGACGCUGAGGAGCGAAAGCGUGGGGAGCGAACAGGAUUAGAUACCCCCGUAGUCCCUGUCUCUUAUAC